rnacentral:rRNA from 1 species
CCUACGGGUGGCAGCAGUGGGGGAUAUUGCACAAUGGGGGGAACCCUGAUGCAGCGACGCCGCGUGGGUGCAGAAGCCCCUCGGCUCGUAAAGCCCUGUCAGCAGGGAAGAAAAUGACGGUACCUGACGAAUAAGCCCCGGCUAACUACGUGCCAGCAGCCGCGGUAAUACGUAGGGGCCGAGCGUUAUCCGGAUUUACUGGGUGUAAAGGGUGCGCCGACGGAGAUUAAAGCCAGGAGUGAAAGGCCGGUGCCAAACCCCUGGACUGCUCUUGCAACUGCGUGGCUGGAGUGCAGGAGGGGAAGGCGGAAUUCCUGGUGUAGCGGUGAAAUGGGUAGAUAUCAGGAGGAAAACCGGUGGCGAAGGAGGCCUGCUGGACUGCAACUGACGUUGAGGACGGAAAGCGUGGGGAGCAAACAGGAUUAGAUACCCAUGUAGU